AGAAAUGUACCACGUGAUGCAGUAGCCUGUUGAUGCUGGCAAAAGAUGCAAUCUGGAGGAUUUCAGGAGAUGGCUCUUGCUCACUGGCAGUGACUUGGGUCAUACGAGACAGCAUCAGAGCUCGGGUGACAUCUCUCGCUCGGGUGAAAUCUCUCCUGGAAGAUUUCAAGGUGUGUGCAGAGUUCUGAAGAAUAAAAGUCAACAGUCAAGUUCUUCUCCAUAUUCUCCAAAUCUGACGGAGGCGUUCCAUCAGGAAAGGGGGAAUGGUUGGUCGAUGCCUCCAGAAUAAUGAUACCCAUGACCCAGGCACAACAUGCUGACAGGGAAUCGGCUAUGGCAGAAAGCAUCCAUGCCAUCUACGUGAUCCGCCAUGAAGGUUCAGAAGCUACU